GCUCCGAUAGUCUAGUGGCCUAGGAUGCGAGACUGUCACUCUUGCGACCCGGGUUCAAAUCCCGGUCGGGGCG
rnacentral:tRNA from 1 species